CCCCCCUUCGAAGAAGAGGGGGUAUAUUGCUUUGCUCAUGUCGGUCUGUCGGUCGGUCGGUCUGUCCGUCCACCAGGUGGUUGUCAGACGAUAACUCAAGAACGCUUGGGCCUAGGAUCAUGAAACUUCAUAGGUACAUUGAUCAUGACUUGCAGAUGACCCCUAUUGAUUUUGAGGUCACUAGGUCAAAGGUCAAAGUCACGGUGACCCGAAAUAGUAAAAUGGUUUCCGGAUGAUAACUCAAGAACGCAUACGCCUAGGAUCAUGAAACUUCAU